GCUCAGACGAACGCUGCGGCGUCCUAAUACAUGCAAGUCGAGCGGGACACUCCGGUGUCCAGCGGCGGACGGGUAGUACACGUGGGUACCUGCCUGACAGACCGGGAUAACGCUUGGAAACGAGUGCUUAAUACCGGAUAGGCUCUUGAAGCGCAUGCUUUGAGAGGGAAAGAGGCUAUCGCUUCACUGUCAGAUGGACCCGCGGCGCAUUAGCUAGUUGGUGAGGUAACGGCUCACCAAGGCGACGAUGCGUAGCCGACCUGAGAGGGUGACCGACCACACUGGGACUGAGACACGGCCCAGACUCCUACGGGAGGCAGCAGUAGGGAAUCUUCCGCAAUGGGCGCAAGCCUGACGGAGCAACGCCGCGUGAGUGAUGAAGGCCUUCGGGUUGUAAAACUCUGUCUUCUGUGAAGAACAAGCCUGUGAGGGAAAGCUCAGGCCUUGACGUAACAGAGGA
rnacentral:rRNA from 1 species